rnacentral:rRNA from 1 species
UACGUAGGGUGCGAGCGUUAAUCGGAUUUACUGGGCGUAAAGCGUGCGCAGGCGGCCCGUUAAGACAGGUGUGAAAUCCGACGGCUUAACCGGAGGACUGCACCUGAUACUGGGCUGCUAGAGGUAAGGAGAGGAAGGUGGAAUUCCCGGUGUAGCGGUGAAAUGCGUAGAGAUCAGGAGGAACACCGAUGGCGAAGGCAGCCCCCUGGGCCUGUACUGACGCUCAUGCACGAAAGCGUGGGGAGCAAACAGG